GGUUGCUGGUGGCUCAGUUGGUAGAGCAUGCCCAUUAUGUGCAAAGACUAUAGUCCUGGAAGCGAUUGUCCUGGGUUCGAUUCCUGGUCUCAGGCCA